rnacentral:rRNA from 1 species
AGCAUUUUACGUAGGUGCUGCAUGGUUGUCGUCAGCUCGUGCCGUGAGGUGUCGGGUUAAGUCCCAUAACGAGCGCAACCCCUACCUUUAGUUGCCAUCAGGUUAAGCUGGGGACGUCUAAAGGAACUGCCUACGCAAGUAGUGAGGAAGGCGGGGAUGACGUCAAAUCAGCACGGCCCUUACGUCCAGGGCUACACACGUGCUACAAUGGCCGAUACAGAGGGCAGCUACCUGGUGACAGGAUGCAAAUCUCCAAAGUCGGUCUCAGUUCGGAUCGGAGUCUGCAACCCGACUCCGUGAAGUUGGAUUCGCUAGUAAUCGCGCAUCAGCCAUGGCGCGGUGAAUACGUUCCCGGGCCUU